GUAUUAUAAUUUGUUAAUUUUUUAAUUACAGUCAAGUUGUUCAGUAGAUUAAAGAAGACUCUGGCAAAGACUUUCUGUCUUUGCCAAAGCAUAUUUCAAUGCGUGCACAUGGUGGAUGAUCAGGCUAUAAAAACCUUGUAAUGAUCCUUCCGCAGGUUCACCUACGGAAA
rnacentral:misc_RNA from 1 species